rnacentral:lncRNA from 1 species
GCCUGAAAGAGACAGGUAGCUACUGUAGCUGGCUAGGGACCGCCUGAAAGAGACAGGUAGCUACUAUAGCUGGCUAGGGACCGCCUGAAAGAGACAGGUAGCUACUGUAGCUGGCUAGGGACCGUCUGAAAGAGACAGGUAGCUACUGUAGCUGGCUAGGGAGCGCCUGAAAGAGACAGGUAGCUACUGUAGCUGGCUAGGGGACUGAGAGGAUGAGUUACAGUAAUGUAACUGAUGUCAUCCUGUUAAUCACGUCUGCCUGGCCAAACAGCCCUGCGGGUACAGACUGUAGUGUGUGUACAGCCAAGCUGUUCCCACGACCCAGAGGUCAAAGGACAUGCUCAGAGUCGGCGCCAGGCAGAGACCAGCCAGAUAGACGACCUUGCCGCGCACACUUACACACACACACACACACACACACACACACACAC